rnacentral:rRNA from 1 species
UACGUAGGGCGCAAGCGUUGUCCGGAUUUAUUGGGCGUAAAGAGCUCGUAGGCGGUUUGUUGCGUCGGCUGUGAAAUCCCGAGGCUCAACCUCGGGUCUGCAGUCGAUACGAGCAAACUAGAGUGUUGCAGGGGAGACUGGAAUUCCUGGUGUAGCGGUGAAAUGCGCAGAUAUCAGGAGGAACACCGGUGGCGAAGGCGGGUCUCUGGGCAACAACUGACGCUGAGGAGCGAAAGCGUGGGGAGCGAACAGG